rnacentral:misc_RNA from 1 species
GUAGGUGAACCUGCGGAAGGAUCAUUAACAAUUUGAACCCACAUGGAUUCAAGUAUCCAUACCCACUUUGUGUGCACCUAUUGAAAACUACUUUGGGAUGGAUUUGGUAUUUGUAUAUAUAUAUACCAACCUCCCAGAAUUUUUAAUCAACGCCUUAAAAUUUUGUCUGAAAUUAUAAAUAUAUCAUAAAUAAAUACAACUUUCAACAACGGAUCUCUUGGCUCUCGCAUCGAUGAAGAACGCAGCAUCU